UACGUAGGGUGCAGGCGUUGUUCGGAUUUACUGGGCGUAAAGGGCUCGUAGGCGGCCAACUAAGUCGGACGUGAAAUCCCUCGGCUUAACCGGGGAACUGCGUCCGAUACUGGAUGGCUGGAGGUUGGGAGAGGGAUGCGGAAUUCCAGGUGUAGCGGUGAAAUGCGUAGAUAUCUGGAGGAACACCGGUGGCGAAGGCGGCAUCCUGGACCAAUUCUGACGCUGAGGAGCGAAAGCCAGGGGAGCAAACGGG
rnacentral:rRNA from 1 species